CAAAUGUGCUAAAACAAAUGUCAGGAUCAUCACCCUCCAUCAAACAUCAGCCAGCUCAACCUCUGAUUCAUCCACACAACUAAACCUGCAAUAAAGCAACAAUUCAUUUUUACUUUGCUUUUUUCACAGUUAAUUACCUUUCCAAUUAUGAGUUCUUCCUUUUUUUGGAUACUAAAAUAUUCUUUUAUUGGAAGUCAACUAAGCUAAUAUUAUGAAAAGCCAGUUUGAGCUUCCCAUUAUUCCAUAAAGCAAACCUUGUGGCUGAAACUUAAUUAAACAUAGACAGUCUAUUUGACUUGGAAAUCUCACUUUUACUUUCAAGCAUUCUGAUAUCUCAACUUUCAACUGUAAGUAUUCAAAUUAACAAUCUCUGAGGCAAGUCCUGCAAGACUCACAUUCUUUUUGCUCUUCUUGCCUUUUCAGAUCCUUCCAGGUAAGUUCUUUGCGCAUGUCUCUUUCACUCCUUGAGUGCUUUGCCAUAAAGAAAAUGGCCAUAUGGGUUUUGACUAAAGCAACAAUUAUAGACACCCUCUUUGCACAGCAUUGGGACACUAGAGAUCUUUAAAUUGAAGAUGGAGGGGAGAAUGGAGAGCUGGCAUAAUGAAGCUCCAACCCAUAUUACUUUGUUUUCUGUUUUUCCUUUAUGUAGAUUCUGGUAAAAGUGGAGCUCAAAGAGAUUUACCCUGUAACAAAGCAAGGAGUAGGUCAAAAUGGCACAAUCUUGACACCCUCUUCCCCAUGGCAGAUGAGAAUACUGAAGAAUUCUGUACCUGCAAGUCCCGUGACAGCAAAGAUAUGGAGAGCAGAACGAGAAAGGAACAGCUAAAACGCUGCCAGAUUUUAAAGUGUUUGCCGUGAGUCUAAAUCAGGCACUAUCAAUAGGAUAGAGAAUCUUUGUAAAAUAAGGAACCGGUGUGAGUAGGCUGUUUAGUAGUCUUUCUAAAUAAAUUUCCCUUAAUUAAUACCUGUAACUUUAUUCCUUCACUGUCCGCAGAGCCAAAUAUUCCAGAAAAAAGUGAUCCAGGGACCCAGAUUCAAGGCUUCA